CAGCAGCCGCGGGAAAACGGAGGGUGCAAGCGUUAAUCGGAAUUACUGGGCGUAAAGCGCACGCAGGCGGUCUGACAAGUCAGAUGUGAAAUCCCCGGGCUUAACCUGGGAACUGCAUUUGAAACUGUCAGGCUGGAGUCUUGUAGAGGGGGGUGGAAUUCCAGGUGUAGCGGUGAAAUGCGUAGAGAUCUGGAGGAAUACCGGUGGCGAAGGCGGCCCCCUGGACAAAGACUGACGCUCAGGUGCGAAAGCGUGGGGAGCAAACAGGAUUAGAUACCCGGGUAGUCCCUGUCUCUUAUAC
rnacentral:rRNA from 1 species